UGGGGUGCGUGGUGGUGAGUGGGCGUGGCCACGGGAGUCAGCGGUGUCAGGAUAAACCCGAUGAACUGCCGUCCGUUUAACUAGGCGAAAGGUCGAUCCAGUCUACGCUGCGUUCAUGGGCUGUGAGAAAAAUCCGACCCGAAAGGAGCAACAACAGGGGUUUUUCUUUGAGCAUUUACCCUCUGAUUGGUCAGGAGGGAUGGCAAAGUCAAUCUGUUGCUAUGAGAUGCUGACUUGUGAGCUGCUGGCUUGCUGUCUGUUGUCCUGGCAACGUGAGGAGCAGGAGCGUUGAAUGUCUGGAACAGGCACUCACAUGGCGCUGGAGGGCAGAGAAGUGGAUGUCGGGGAUAAACAGGACCGGCUGGGUCUCGAGGUCGUUCAUCAUCUUGAAGAUGGUCACGUCAUUGCGCUUCUGGAGGAUGGGAACCUUCAUGUCUGCAACUGAGAGGACAAAGGCAGAAGAAGCAGAUCAACAAGUGAAAGCUCCCCAAAAUAUAUCUUCACCCAUGAAGCUUUCAUAUUAUAAAAAAUUAGCUGUAUGUGUAUUUAUCAGGCAAAGGAUCUCAGCGCUUUUGGCAGAAGAAAAUUGUGCAGUAGUUGUUGUAUUGUGUCUAGGUUAGUCAGCAGCGCCACCUGCUGGAUUGCUUUAGAAUUCAGCAAUUCUACUUGAGAUAUUUAAAGUCCCACUCCAGUCAUUUUUUGAUUUAUUUGAAAUGCAAUCCAGGUGGUUUUUUUAAGUAUGAUCGUGCUGUUUUCAUCCAAAAUAAAAAAAAAAAAAACGUGAGUUUUCUAGGACAUAGCUUCUGCAGAGCGGCAGUAGUGCAGAAAUUCCCCUUUGAAUUGUGGGUGGGACUGUUUGUGUGGAGUAAGCCCACCCCAUUUCCUGUCAUCCCUCUGUUUACAGUUCUCUUGCUAGUUUACAGGGCCUCAUAUCUCCAAUCUAACAUUAGCGGUGCAACAAAAACGUCCAUUAAUGUUGGAACUAUCCAGCCGUCCAGUUCUGAGUCAGAUUCUAGCUCAGACGAGGAAAACAAAGACAUACGUGGAUCUAUUUGUCUACAAGCGGAUGCAUCAGAAUGGAGCAGAGCAGGGAGAUUGUGCUUCUGAUUCACAACGAUGUAAAUAAAUACUGAGGAACGCAA